UCAAGACUUAGGCAGAGGACGUUUGGCUGAAGAACGGCUCGCAGGCAUGGACUGGCAGAAGUAAUGUUUGUAACGCGAGGAAUCUAUCCAGAAUGCCACACUGCCAUGAGGGGAGCAUGAGCUCAGCAAGCAGCUUUCUCCUGCACUGUAUAUCACCGACCUGUGGGACCAACCUUUGGCAAGACGCAGUGCUCUGAAUGCCUCUGCUCAGGUAUGGUGAGCCUUGCCGUGAUGACCUGUGCUUCUUGGUGUAUUUUAUAAAGACUGAGGAAUGAAGCGCUACUGCAUUUGGAGGAAAUGACGCAGCAGCCACUAUUCAUGUGGGGAAACCGAAAAAAGGAAAGCUGAAGAGAGUUGUGGGUGAUACAAGAGGUGCUGCCCUGCUCUCUGGAAAGGAAUUACCAUUGCAAACAACCUCCUCUCCUGCAGAAGAGACAGAUUUGAUUAGAGAUAGAAUUUUACACAAGGAGACCGGGAUGAAGCCUGGAGAAAAGGAGUAUGCCCCAGGAGUUUAUGCUGCCACACUCAAGGUUCUGACCACAUUUGUAGGGUUCUGGGUGAAGACCUGCCCUAAAAGUGCACCCUCUUUCCUAUGCCAGAGGUAAAACUCUGGCCAGCUGGGAGGAUUGUCUCAAGGAACUUAAAGCUGGCUUUUGGGCUCUCUGAAGACCUGCCGAUAGAAUUUUCUGCACCUGCACAAGGACUGGCAGGAAGAGACAUGCAAGGUGCCCAGCACCAGCUCUUUGGGGUCCCAUCCACUCCUGCUGGCUGGAAGCCGAGAAGCUGGGACUUGCAAGGUGCACCGAGACCUCGGGGGGACAGAGCCCCAUGUUCCCUGCAAGCAGAACAUCAGCCUGCAAAGUCUCACUGGUCAGCAAAAGGAACUAUUUCUUGUCCACGAGGGCAAUGCAAACCUCAUUUCACACAGCCCCCACCUCUGGUAAACACUUUCCCAGAGAACUCACAGCCUGUGCCACAUGGAAAAGGUGGGAAAAAGAGAUGGCGGGGCAAUGACAAAGAGAAAGGAAGGAGUCACUCAUUUGUAGCCAUGUAAUUAUUAUUUAAAUAAAUAGAGCUUUUGAAAAUGUGAUUAAGCAAACGAGGGAAUAAAGUAAAAAUCUGAAUUGCUAAUUAAAAAAAAAAACCCAACAUGCUUGUAAUGAUAUCAUGUUGAGGGAUAAACUAAUUCAG